ensembl:lncRNA
CAGCAAAUCACUCUGCAGGCCCUCUGCUCCCAUCUCGACGAGUCAAGCCAAGUGAUAUGGGAUUAAAAUAAACCUCAAGGGAUCUUUAAAAGGAUAAAAAUACUACAAAAAAGUGAGAAGAAAGAAUGGAAGAGAGAUGGGAAGCCUGCCUCCUUGGCCUGCUUAGAGGUUCUAGGGUGUGUGUAUUAGCCCUGAGCUAACAUCUGCCAAUCCUCCUCUUUUUGCUGAGGAAGACUGGCCCUGAGCUAACCUCCAUGCCCAUCUUCCUCUACUUUAUAUGUAGGAUGCCUACCACAGCAUGGCUUGCCAAGCGGUGCCCUGGCUGCACCCGGGAUCCAAACCGGCGAACCCCAGGCUGCCGAAGUGGAGUGUGCAAACUUAACCGCUGUACCACGGGGCCAGCCCCUAAUCAACCUUUUUGAGGCAGACUGACAGCACUAUUUCAAGUCCUCAUGCUCUUCUAGAACUUUGCCAUUCUCCAUUGAGAGGUGAAGUCUAUUUCCCCUCCCCUUCAACCUGAGUAGGACUUUGUGACUAUCCCAACUAAUGGAAUGCAGUAGAAAUGAACCUGCUUAAAUGUCGGAGACAGGCCAUGAAGGCAAUGUAGCUUCCACCUGGCUUGCUUUCUCAUUCAUGGGAUACUUGCCCUUGGAACCCAGCCACCAUGCUGUGAGGAAGGCAAACUAGUCACAAGGAGAGGCCCACGUACAGAGCAACUGAAGUCCCCAGCUGACACCCAGCAGCAACUGCCGGAUAUGGGAAUGAGUGAGCCGUCCAGAUGAUUCCAGCUCCCAGCCUUCAAACCACUCCAGGUGACACUGAGUGGAGAGGAUGUGAGCCGUCCCCUGCUUAAGACGCAGAUUCAGGAGCAAACUAAAUGUUGUAGUUGUUUAAGUCACAAGUGCUGGCAUAUUUGUUAUAUAGCCUCAGUCACUGGAACACUUAAAACAUUUUUUUUUCCUCUGUAUUUGAACAAUGCAUACAUAAGGUAGUGAGGACCACAGAACUCUAAAUAUAUACUGCCUGGUUUCCAGUGGUAGCUCCAACACUUACAAGCUCUGUGACUUUAGGCAAAUUCCUUAAACUCAUGCCUCAUUUCCUUAUCUGUAAAUAGGGGUUAUAAGAAUUCUUACUUCAUAGGAUUGUUCUGACCAUUAAGCGACAAUAUGUGCAAAGCAUUUGGAACAGUGCCUAUUACAAAAUAAGCUCUAUAUAAGUAUUAGAUAUUAUUGUGGUGGUGAUGGUGGUUUUAUAGUUGGUAAUAGUGGUGUGGUAGGCAGAAUUCUAAGACCCCAGUGACUCUUGCCCCCUGAUAUCCAAGCCACUGUAUGAUCCCCUCGCCUUGAGUGCAGUGAAACCCAUGAUUUGCUUCAAUAGAAUAUGGCAAAGAUGCAGGAAUUUUGCAGAUGUAAUUAAAGUCCCUAAAGUUGACUUCAAGUGAAUCGAAAGGGAAAUUAUCAGGUGAAUUCUUUAAAAGAGUAUCUAGAGCUCAGAGACUCUCUCUCCUGCUGGCCUUGAAGAAGCCAAGACACCAUGAGUUCAACAACUGCCAGGAAAUGAAUGAUGCCAACUACCCUGUGAGCUUGGAAAGGACUUCUAGCCUCCGAUGAAAAUGCAGCUCUGGCUGAGGUUGCAACUUCGGUUGUGAGAUCCUGAGCAGAGGCCCCAGUUCAGUGUUACUCAACUCCUGACCCACGGAAAUUGUGCACUAACAAACAGAUGUUGUUUUAAGCCACGAUGUUUGUGCUAAUUUGUUAUUCAGCCG